UUGAAGCAGUUCAGGCUUCCCUAGGAUUGCUUGUUGGGAUGCUCAGUCUGAUCAUUCUCAUAAUACUUUUUAGGUAUACACAAUUUAGUCACUUAGUGAAUUUAAAGUGUGGGAGGCUGGGCUGGGGUUGUGGCUCAGUGAGUGCUCGCCUAGCACAUUCAAGGCCCUGGGUUCGAUCUUCAGCACCACAUAAAAAUAAAUAAAUAAAAUGGAGGUGUUGUGUCCACCUACAAAUAGAUAGAUAGAUAGAUAGAUAAAUAAAGUGUGGGAGGCUUUAUAAACAUAUUAUCUGAAACUUGGUGUGAUCUCUUUUGUCCAUUCUUAGCAGUUACUCUUGAGCAAAAAUAUGAAAAUUUUUUUUUAAAUGGCUCUUAGUGGGCUGGGGCUAUAGCUGAGUAGCCGAGCAAUUGCCUAGCACAUGUGAGGCCCUGGGUUCAAUCCUUAGCACCACAUAAAAAUAAACAAAUAAAAUAAAGGCAUGCUGGCAUCUACAACUACAAAAAUACAAAUUGGGCUGGGAUUGUGGCUCAGCUGUAGAGCACUUGCCUAGCAUGGGCUGGACCCAGGUUCAAUCCUCAGCACCACAUAAAAAUAAAGGCAUUGUGUUGUGUCCAUCUACACCUAAAAAAAAAAAAAAUUACAUUUUUUUUAGGUGCAUAGUAAAUAUUCUGGCUUUGCAAACCAUAGAAUAAUGGAGAAUAUUUUAGGUAGAUAUAAAACUGUUAAAAAAUGUGAAGACUAGGGCUGAGGAUGUAGCUCAGUAGUAGAAUGCUUGCCUAGCAAACUCAGAGCCCUGGGUUUGAAUUCCAGCAUGAUCAAAAAAAAGUAGAGACUUUUCUCUCUUUCUCUCUUCUCUCUCUUCCCUUCUCUUCUCUUCUCUCUCUCUCCCCGCCCCCCCACCCAUCCCCUCUCCCUCCCUCUCUCCAGGGAUUAAGCUUGAGCAGAAGUAUUGCAAGUUCAAAGCCAGCCUUAGCAAUUUACUGAGGCCCUAAGCAACUUAGCAAGGCCCUGUCUCAAAAUUUAAAAAGUAAAAAGGGGUUGUGAAUAUGGCUCACUGGUUUAAUGCCCCUGGAUUCCUUGGUACCAAAAUAAAAGAAAAAAAAUUGUCUUGGUUAGUUGGGUGCAGGGGCACACACCUAUAAUCCCAACUUCUAGGGAGGCUAAAAUAAGAGGGUAGCACCUAUAAUCCCUAUCUGAAAAUGAAAAGUGCUAGGGAUGUAGCUUAGUAGUAGAGCACUUAUCUAGCAUUUGUGAGACUCUGGGUUUGGUUUUCGGUACCACAAGAAAGAAAGAGUGAGAUAGAUAGAUCUGUGGUAUAAUUACCAAAAUGUUUG
rnacentral:lncRNA from 1 species